rnacentral:rRNA from 1 species
AAUUCGCCCUUGGGCGGUGUGUACAAGGCAUGCAAGUCGAAUGUCUAGUUUACUAGGCAUGGCAAACGGGAGCGUAACACAUUGAUAACCUACCCCGAAGACGUGAAUAACCUUGCGAAAGCGAGAAUAAUACACGAUGGUAUUAACGAGCAUAAGCUUGUUAAUUAGAGCUUCGACGCUUCGGGAGGGGUCUAUGGCCUAUCAGCUUGUUGGUGAGGUAAAAGCUCACCAAGGCUACGACGGGCAUGGGGCGCGAGAGCGUGACCCCACUCACUGGGACUGAGACACUGCCCACACUCCUACGGGAGGCUGCAGUCGAGAAUAUUCCACAAUGGGGGAAACCCUGAUGGAGCGACACCGCGUGGGGGAUGAAGGCCUACGGGUCGUAAACCCCUUUUACAUGGGACGAAGCGCAAGCUGACGGUACCAUGCGAAUAAGAGGUUGCUAACUCUGUGCCAGCAGCAGCGGUAAUACAGAGACCUCAAGCGUUAUCCGGAUUCACUGGGCGUAAAGCGUCCGCAGGUGGUCCAUAAAGUCAUUUGUCAAAUCCCGGUGCUCAACAUCGGAACUGCGAGUGAAACUUAUGGACUUGAGGAUGGAAGAGGUAAGAGGAACUGCUGGUGUAGUAGUAAAAUGCGUUAAUAUCAGCAGGAACACCAAAGGCGAAGGCAUCUUACUGGGACAUUCCUGACACUCAUGGACGAAAGCGUGGGGAGCAAAACGGAUUAGAUACCCGUGUAGUCUACGCCCUAAACGAUGAGCGCUGGAUUUGGGAAGUAUCGACCCUUUCCGAGUCGUUUUAUAAGCUAACGCGUUAAGCGCUCCGCCUGGGGAGUACGGCCGCAAGGCUAAAACUCAAAGGAAUAGACGGGGACCCGCACAAGCGGUGGAACAUGUGGUUCAACUCGACAACAAACGAGAAACCUUACCAGGGCUUGACAUGCAGCUGCUAGCGCACGGAAACGUGUGAUCUUCGAGAGUGCUGCACAGGUGCUGCAUGGCUGUCGUCAGCUCGUGCUGUGAAGUGUACCCUUCAGUGGGGUAACGAGCGCAACCUCCAUCAUUUGUUUAAUGACCAAAUGAAACCGCGGUCCUAAAGACCGAGGAAGGCGGAGAUGACGUCAAGUCAGCAUGGCCCUUACGCCCUGGGCCACACACAUGUUACAAUGGCAAUUACAAAGGGAAGCGAAGUCGCGAGAUGGAGCAAAUCCCACCAAAGAUUGCCUCAGUUCGGAUUGAAGGCUGCAACUCGCCUUCAUGAAGCCGGAAUCGCUAGUAACCGUGUAUCAGCUAUGGCACGGUGAAUACGUUCUCGGGCCUUGUACACUCC